rnacentral:rRNA from 1 species
GGAUUCGUCUUCUGGUCGGCACAAUUGUGUUGGUACUGGUAAGACGGAUCCUUCUUCGAGGGUAACAGGAUAUAUUUCGGUAUGUUCUGGGAACUCGUCAUUUACUGUGAGCAAAACAGAGUGUUCAAAGCAGGCUUACGCCGUUGAAUACAUUAGCAUGGAAUAAUAAGAUAAGACCUUGGUCUAUUUUGUUGGUUUGUACUCCAAGGUA